UACGAAGGGGGCUAGCGUUGUUCGGAAUUACUGGGCGUAAAGCGCGCGUAGGCGGACAUUUAAGUCAGGGGUGAAAUGCCGGGGACUCAACCUCGGAACUGCCUUUGAUACUGGGUGUCUGGAGUUCGGGAGAGGUGAGUGGAAUUCCGAGUGUAGAGGUGAAAUUCGUAGAUAUUCGGAGGAACACCAGAAGCGAAGGCGGCUCACUGGCCCGAUACGUGACACUGAGGCGCGAAAGCGUGGG
rnacentral:rRNA from 1 species